rnacentral:rRNA from 1 species
UACGUAGGAGGCUAGCGUUAUCCGGAAUUACUGGGCGUAAAGGGUGCGUAGGUGGUUUCUUAAGUCAGAGGUGAAAGGCUACGGCUCAACCGUAGUAAGCCUUUGAAACUGGGAAACUUGAGUGCAGGAGAGGAGAGUGGAAUUCCUAGUGUAGUGGUGAAAUGCGUAGAUAUUAGGAGGAACACCAGUUGCGAAGGCGGCUCUCUGGACUGUAACUGACACUGAGGCACGAAAGCGUGGGGAGCAAACAGGAUUAGAUACCCCCGUAGUCCCUGAG